rnacentral:rRNA from 1 species
GAUGAACGCUGGCGGCGUGCCUAACACAUGCAAGUCGAGCGGAGAAUAAGAAGGAGCUUGCUCCAUCUUAUUUUUAGCGGCGGACGGGUGAGUAACGCGUGGGCAACCUGCCCUAUACAGGGGGAUAACACUAAGAAAUUGGUGCUAAUACCCCAUAAGCUGACGGAAUGGCAUCAUUCUGUUGGAAAAGAUUUAUCGGUAUAGGAGGGACCCGCGUCUGAUUAGCUAGUUGGUAAGGUAACGGCUUACCAAGGCGACGAUCAGUAGCCGACCUGAGAGGGUGAUCGGCCACAUUGGAACUGAGACACGGUCCAAACUCCUACGGGAGGCAGCAGUGGGGAAUAUUGCACAAUGGGGGAAACCCUGAUGCAGCAACGCCGCGUGAAGGAAGAAGUAUUUCGGUAUGUAAACUUCUAUCAACAGGGAAGAAAAAAAUGACGGUACCUGAAUAAGAAGCACCGGCUAAAUACGUGCCAGCCGCCGCCGUAACAC